AAACAAGGAGAAACUCGUUUCUCUUGAGCUUUCUAUUGAGAAAUUCUUUUACAGUGCGAGUGUCGCGCUCUUGGGACAAGAAUUCUAUCAUCACCGUGUUUCACAUGUAAAUAACUAUGCAAGAAAACACAGAAAUAUCGAUAUGACAGACGAGCAAAACAAUGCAUAGUAUAGUUGUUCAGCGACACAAUCUCAGAAUCAUCAACGCGGAAAAUCCUGUAACUAUCUGAAAGAAAACUUAUUUUUCCCUGAGAUCUCGAUUGGUUGCUAGAGAGUAGACAAGAAGCGCGCACGUUGAGAAGCGACUUUUCCUAUGUGGAGGUGGACGACGUCUAUCCCCGACUCAGGCCCGAAAUCUUUCACUGUUAAAGAGUUCAAACGGAUGUAGAUAAGAAAGCAAAAAUCGAAGAGCAUGAGAUAGUACCUCUUGAUUCGGAAGCUUUUGUCGAACUUCGCGAGGUGAUGAUGAUUGGCCGGAAGCGGAUGAACCUGGACCCGAACAGCAGCCAAGUCACUCACGGUCUUCAUCGAGUAUCUCUUAAGUCGAUUUUAGAAGCUAGUUCAGGAUAAUCCGCGCGCAUGGCCGACUUUCUUGACGACUGAGAAACUACCUACUGGCUUUACACCGUUUCGUCUCGUUUAUGGUCUUGAGGCUAUACUUCCGAUCCAAUUAUGUAUCUUUUCCAGCCUCAGCGCAGAUCAACUUGCGCGAACCUCCGUUUGCCUUGAGGACGCGAUUUG
rnacentral:lncRNA from 1 species